GGCUCGGUAGCUUAGUUGGAAAAGCACUUGUCUAGCGAAUAAAGGUUUGUGAGUUCAAACCUCAACUGAGCUG
rnacentral:tRNA from 1 species